rnacentral:tRNA from 1 species
GCGGGUAUGGUGUAGUGGUAGCGCGUCAGCUUCCCAAGCUGUCAGGACGGGUUCGAUUCCCGUUACCCGCU